rnacentral:rRNA from 1 species
UGGCUUUGACGGGUAGCCGGCCUGAGAGGGUGACCGGCCACACUGGGACUGAGACACGGCCCAGACUCCUACGGGAGGCAGCAGUGGGGAAUAUUGCACAAUGGGCGGAAGCCUGAUGCAGCGACGCCGCGUGGGGGAUGAAGGCUUUCGGGUCGUAAACUCCUUUCAGCAGGGACGAAGCUUUUGUGACGGUACCUGCAGAAGAAGCACCGGCUAACUACGUGCCAGCAGCCGCGGUAAUACGUAGGGUGCGAGCGUUGUCCGGAAUUAUUGGGCGUAAAGAGCUUGUAGGCGGUUUGUCGCGUCUGCCGUGAAAGCCCAGGGCUUAACCCUGGGUCUGCGGUGGGUACGGGCAGACUAGAGUGUGGUAGGGGAGACUGGAAUUCCUGGUGUAGCGGUGAAAUGCGCAGAUAUCAGGAGGAACACCGAUGGCGAAGGCAGGUCUCUGGGCCACUACUGACGCUGAGAAGCGAAAGCAUGGGGAGCGAACAGGAUUAGAUACCCUGGUAGUCCA